UCUUCUCUGUCACAAAAAGCUCAUCAUCAGUACUACACUGAGAUGUUAUUUCUCUUCAGCAUGUGGUUAAUACAGAGCCAGAGAACUGUGUAAGAGAGCACUGCAACAACAGCAAAAAGUAACCAUGGAAAAUGAAAAAAAAAAAAAAAAUCCUCUUGCUGUCAGUGGUUCAGAGCUUUACCUGUAAGGGAGCAAUUCCAGAUCGUGCAAUAUGCUUCAUUAGCCCAUUCAGCUUCUCAGUGUGUUAUUAAGGUUCAACUUGCUUAACAAAACUGGGGAGAUCAGAAUAUGCCAUUCAAAUGGAGAAUGGCUUGAACAGUCUCUGCUAUAAGUGGCUUACGUAGUUCAUUGUAGAUUGAUGCAGGGAAUCUGCUGAUAGAGACAAAGCAUACAGGAUAUUAUUUCAAAGGCCCUGGAGCUGUAGGAUGAGAAUUCUUUAGCAAAGUCCUUUUACUCAGACAAAGUAAAAAUAAAAUAUCUUACGUAGGAUAUAAGGAGGUUUGAAUUUAAAUCAGUGAAAUGAUGAAAGAGACCAGUAAAGCAGCCAUUUUGAACAGCUCAGCACAGGCUUUCUUUCUUUGUGUAACCACUAGAUCCUAGGGAAUGUUUAAUUUAUGCAGUCUUUAGUCAAACUGUUUUCACUUUAGAGUAGUUAUCUGUAGACUUGAAAUCACAGGCAGGAACCUUUCCAUCAGUUUCCAUGGUCCCUACAUUGAAUGCACAGUGAACGGAAAAGCACACCAAACUGUUCAGAACCUAAUUUGAAAACUGACAAUCUGCAAACCUCAUUAAAUGCAGGAUCUCUGUUGCAGCAUGGGGUCACAUGUCCAGGCACAAAUCCACGCUGGCAAGAACUUGGAGGAAAAGUGGGUAGGAGUGAAGGAGAAAUGGGGAACAAAUGAGAGGAGGGUGUUGUGAUGAAAUAAGCACGAGUGCCAGCUGAAAUGAUGUGACCACAAGCCCUGGAUGUGUACAGCAAUGCCUUGAGCUGGAUUAAGAGGACUGGGAGUCAUAGAAUCAUUUAGGUUGGAAAAGAUCUCUAAGAUUAUCUAGUCCAACCUUUAAGCCUGGACAGGCAUCUCAGAACUCUUUGGGAAAGGAUAUUUGUUGGAUGUUUACUUUAUGGUCUGUUUUACUCCAUCUCUGUCCACUCUAUAUGCCAUGGUGACACAGGUCAGUGAAGACACUGCAAGGAAAGAGCCAUCUGAGAAAUCUGGAGAGGACAGAAAGCUGGUGACAGAUGUCAAACUGUCAGGAUUAUAAAAGACCAUGGUCCCGUUGCGUGACAGAGGUCAGAAUUUACUGAUGCCAUCUGUACUUGCUACAGAGAACAAAAUACUAAGG